rnacentral:tRNA from 1 species
GUUAAUGUGUCUGAUUAAAGUUAUAAAUUGUAAAUUUAUAUAAAAGAAAUGGUUUCUUCAUUAAUA